AAGGAAGUGAAGGAAGGUCAGCGGGGUCGCAUGACUUGCUCUGUCCUCUCCGCUUGCUGGAUUUUGAUGGUGUUGUCUGGCAAGAAGCAGACAGAAGAGGCUGAGAAUCUUCACCACACCACUUAAGAUAACCCAAGGCUGUUUGACGUUGGAGUGUGAAAUCGCACACUUCAGCUCAGGAGUAUAAAGGAGGAGAAGACCAUGGUUCAGAGCUAUAUAUGAGCCAGUGUGGACAGAAUAUUAUUCCCACCCAUCACUGUGCAUGCCAACCUGAUUGACAGCCUGACAGACUGUAGGAACCCUGAACUGGUGAACUGCCGUAUGGAUUAAAGACCCGGAGAAUAUGUACUUACCUGAAAUCUUGGUAGCUUUAGAGUCCAGUUAAAACACACAUUACAUUUUAUUAAUAUUACAUAUGCAUACAGCUGUAUUAUUAAAAAAAACUCACAUCCUGCUUUGACUUUGUUUGAUGUGAAGCAAAAUGUGACACAUAGAUAACUUGGCUUGUGAAAUAUUUCAGUGAAGGUUCCAGUUAAUCCUUAGUGAUCACAAUUUAAGUAAAAGGUUGUUCUCCUGACCACUUUGCUUUGAAAGAUGCAAAAUGUAUUAAUAGUGUUUCAGUCAGAUGAGCACUGCA